GUAGCUGGGACCACAGGCGCCUGCCACCACCACGUCUGGAUACUUCAAAUUACUUCUCCUAUGCAUUUGGAGAGCGGGAGAGAAAAACACCAGGAAGGAAGAGGGAACAAAGAAACUCUACAGGCAGAGACACAGGACUGAGCCGCGUUGGGGGCACUGGGAGGAGUGAGCCUUGGGGUUGCACCCUCGGAGCCCCACUGUCCUGGGAGCAGCCUUCAGAACCACCCUUUUGUUCUCUGAAGUACCAGGCGUUCAGCUUUUCCAAGGACUGGCAGCUGCACAUCUUUGUCCCUGCCCCUUCCAUCUCUAGGCUCAGCCCCGCUGGGCAGCCUGGCCCACUCCCCACCCCUGCCCAGGGCCAACCCCUACUUCCCAUGCCCCCUCUGCCCACCUGCAGCACACUGGAGCCUUGGAGGCCCUCUCUGCAUCAUUCAAGAUGCAGACUCCUACACUUUGACCUGCACACAUCCUCCUGAAGCUUCCACUUCCUGGCCCCUGCCUGGCUUCUCACCUCCCCCACCUCCGCCCCCCAGGGGAUGUGCCGCCUCUCCCAGUGGCCCAGGACAUCCUCCACUUCCCGGGAACCCCAGGCACUUCCACAUCCUCAGACACAGUGAGAAGAUGACCCUCUCUCCAAGCCAGGAAGAGACCUCCCGAGGAGCCCAGCCAGCCAGCACGCUGACCUCCAACGUCCAGCCUCUGGAAAUGGGAUACCGAAGGCUGCGCUCCUGCCCCGCACCAGGAUGUGGGAACUUUGAGAACCGCUGGAGAGUCGAGAGAUGUCAUCGAAACGACACCCGAUACGUGUUCCCUGAGCAUCCGUUUUGUAGUGAAGACACUCGUACUGUUGACGCCUGCUGCGGUAAGCGGAGACAGGGCAGGGCGAUCAGGAGCAGCGUGAGCCAAAGGAGGACCAUCGGGAACGCAGCUCCGGAACGCAGGACAGAGGUGCCUGCUGCAGGAGAAACGAGAGUCAGGCAGCGGGGACUGGCUGUGAAACUGGGUUGCGGGUAAUGAAGGAUGCUUGCCCCUUCCAGAGCCUGGUGCUCACAGCAGAAGGAGCUGCUUCUGGAGGGAAAGCGGUGAACAUUGUCACGACCCCAAAAGGAGACUCCAGACCCAUUAAAGACCCGUCCUUCCUCUUCCCCAGCCUGUGGCAACCACUCAUCCACUUUCUGUCUCUGUGGAUUUGCCUGUAUCUGGACAUAGGGAAUAAAUGGAAUCAUACAGACACUAUGUAUCUUUUUGUAUCUGGCCUCUCUCAGGAAGCAUGAUGUCCUCAGCAUUCACCCACAUUGCCACCUGUGGCAGAGCCUCGUUCCUUUUCAUGGCUGUGUAAUAUUCCACCGUGUGGCUGGACCACAUUAUAUUUCUCCAUUCAUCUAUAGAUGGGUAUGAGGACUCUCUCCACCUCUUGGCUAGUGUGAAUAAAGCUGCUUAUUCCUUUUCAUGGCUGUGUAAUAUUCCACCGUGUGGCUGGACCACAUUAUAUUUCUCCAUUCAUCUAUAGAUGGGGUAUGAGGGCUGUCUCCACCUCUUGGCUAUUGUGAAUAAAGCUGCUUGUUCCUUUUCAUGGCUGUGUAAUAUUCCACUGUGUGGAUGGACAUUAUAUUUUUCCAUUCAUCUAUAGAUGGGUAUGAGGGCUGUCUCCACCUCUUGGCUAUUGUGAAUAAAGCUGCUUGUUCCUUUUCAUGGCUGUGUAAUAUUCCACUGUGUGGAUGGACAUUAUAUUUCUCCCUUCAUCUAUAGAUGGGGGUAUGAGGGCUGUCUCCACCUCUUGGCUAUUGUGAAUAAAGCUGCUUGUUCCUUUUCAUGGCUGUAUAAUAUUCCACUGUGUGUCUGGACCACAUUAUAUUUCUCCAUUCAUCUAUAGAUGGGUACGAGGGCUGUCUCCACCUCUUGGCUAUUGUGAAUAAAGCUGCUUGUUCCUUUUCAUGGCUGUAUAAUAUUCCACUGUGUGGCUGGACCACAUUAUAUUUCUCCAUUCAUCUAUAGAUGGGUAUGAGGGCUGUCUCCACCUCUUGGCUAUUGUGAAUAAAGCUGCUUGUUCCUUUUCAUGGCUGUGUAAUAUUCCACUGUGUGGCUGGACCACAUUAUAUUUAUCCAUUCGUCUAUAGAUGGGUAUGAGGGCUGUCUCCACCUCUUGGCUAUUGUGAAUAAAGCUGCUUGUUCCUUUUCAUGGCUGUGUAAUAUUCCACCGUGUGGCUGGACCACAUUAUAUUUAUCCAUUCGUCUAUAGAUGGGUAUGAGGGCUGUCUCCACCUCUUGGCUAUUGUGAAUAAAGCUGCUUGUUCCUUUUCA
rnacentral:lncRNA from 1 species